GAUGAACGCUGGCGGCGUGCCUAAUACAUGCAAGUCGAGCGAACAGAUGAGGAGCUUGCUCCUCUGACGUUAGCGGCGGACGGGUGAGUAACACGUGGAUAACCUCCCUAUAAAACUGGGAUAACUUCGGGAAACCGGAGCUAAUACCGGAUAAUAUAUUGAACCGCAUGGUUCAAUAGUGAAAGACGGUUUUGCUGUCUCUUAUAGAUGGAUCCGCGCCGCAUUAGCUAGUUGGUAAGGUAACGGCUUACCAAGGCAACGAUGCAUAGCCGACCUGAGAGGGUGAUCGGCCACACUGGAACUGAGACACGGUCCAGACUCCUACGGGAGGCAGCAGUAGGGAAUCUUCCGCAAUGGGCGAAAGCCUGACGGAGCAACGCCGCGUGAGUGAUGAAGGUCUUCGGAUCGGAAAACUCUGUUAUUAGGGAAGAACAAAUGUGUAAGUAACUAUGCACGUCUUGACGGUACCUAAUCAGAAAGCCACGGCUAACUACGUG
rnacentral:rRNA from 1 species